CCGUCAUGCCGUUCCUCCUUUCCUAACCCCUAACCCUAGAAAUCGAGGAGGAGUCUAUUCUAGGUCGCGUGCCGCCUCCGCCGCCGGCUAUCUCCUCCUCCGCGUCGACGCCGGGCAGGAUUGAGCGGGGGCCACGGAGAUGGCGAGGUUGUCGAGCUUUCCGCGGCAUGGACAUGGUUCCUUCGGACUUGGCAGGAGGGGUAAGGAGGUCCAUCCAUCCGUGGCGCCGGUCGCCGUCGAGCCUCCGUCAAGAGAUGCUCUCGCGCCAGUAGAGGAAUCCACGCCUGCUCCUGCUCGACUGCUUCCAAAUCGAGGGUCGAGGGGCGCGCCGAAUCCGGGCGCGAUGGUGAGCACAGAGGCGGCCAUGGCCGAGCUCGACGGUCUCGUUCUGCGAUGGCUCCUGCACGUGCCUGGGUUAUGAAGAGCCGCCGUUUGUACCGCUCGUCGAGGCUUCGACCAUCCUGCUCGUUGCUACUGCGUCGAGAGGUUGGAAGGCUUCUGCUGCUUAUGGGUUUGGCGUGGACUACUGUUGUUGGCUUGGUUUAAAAUAGUCACGAGCCGACGACCACAUCUCACCUUGCUCGACGUCCACCGCAGACGACCGGUAGCCGUUGACCUACCUACUGCCUACCCGUCCGCCGCAAGUGCAAGAAGGAGCAUGAGCAAAGCAAAGGUCAAAGUAAUUUUUGAUGUAUGAAGUUUGUGCCUCCAGGAUCUUGUGCUCCUACUAAUCUUUUAUUAACUUUGUUAAUUUUGUCAAAAGAAGGAGCAAAGCAAAGGCAGGAUUCCAUGGUGAGUUUGGAGUUUACCCUCUGUCCCUGGAAAUUGAAAUUGGCUCUCAUGCGAGCGUCGACCUUUUCUUAGCCAUGGAAUACAAAGGAAGCUACCCAAAUGUGAUAGGUCCUACUCUUCGGCGGCUUAAAUUUGAAGAUGUAGUGGCUGAACAAGAUUGGGAUCAUGUUUACGAUACAUUUUCCAUCGAUACAAAGGGCAGUGCUUACAAAAAGAGGAGGCAAGAUGAAGAGGAAGGUUGGAAGAAGGAGAGCAACCGUGCGUAGUUCUGACUGCCUCUUCCUCCUGUCGCUAAGUGUCAUAGUCAAGAGGACCAAGUGCGGGCAGGUGAGCAUCAGGAGUCCACCUGGUCGGCUUCAGCCUUUGAGGUGUUGUAGGCUAGCGAUGCCGAUUCCGAGCAUCUCCUCACCCCUCGCUCCUAUGGCCCCUUCAAUAGAAGUAGAUCUUUGAGCUGCUGGUGUUGAUGGUUUCUAUGAAAGCAAAUAAUAGGAAACAUUGCAUUUUCAUGUCCUAUCCAGAUGGUUAGUUCUCUGAUGACAUGCUUGAAGUAUGGUCUGUGCUCUCUUCCUCCAUCUCAUGUAUGUGAUUGAUGUCGCCCUCUAAUUGUUUGGUGUUGGAGUCUCUCUGUAUAAUCAUAGUGCCUCUUUGCUUAAUCUGCUGGCGUAUGCUAUCUACAGUUCCUUCCCGAGCUCCUAACGGAUCUUUAGAGUUACUAUUUAUUAGUAUUUUGUGCUACAACAUAAUUAGUGCCCGGCAAACCCUGUUUACCUUCUUAUCUCACUAUUGUCUGCUGUCAUCCUUUUAUGCAUUAUAACUCAGCUUGAUAUAUUCGCUGCAACAUAAUAUUCCCCUUGGGUUAUUGAAUUGUUUUGCUCUAUACAUCCCAAAGAAACACAGACUAUUUGCAUUACAUGGUUUUGCUACCUCUUAUGAAAUUGCAUUCGCUGUGUUAUGCGGAAAAUUUACUUCGGCCACUCUUAUGAGUGUAUAUUUUCAGUUUCAGGUUUUUCUUUGUAUUACUCCUAGGAAAACUCGCUGAAUUUUUCCAUGUGAGCCUGACACAUUGUUUAAUAACUGGUAUAGCUUCAUAACUGUUAUACCCUUAUGAUCUUUUCCUUUUCUUAUGUCAGCUAACCAGUGAGGAUAUAUAUAAAAAGGAUACUGUCGUGGUUCUAAGGCUGACAGUAGAAAGGGGGUAGGUAUGGAGAGGCAAGAUCUCAGCUAUGGUGAAGGUGUACACACGAGAUUUACGAGUUCAGGCCCUUCUCGAAGGAAGUAAUAGCCCUACGUCUCGGCGCCCGAAGGCGGUC